ACAGGAAAAUAAUUAAGGGAAUGCCAAACCUGAGUAGAACAACUCUGACAGGUUUUAAGGCAAGGGGACAAGCAGUCUGGCUGUCCUGAGGGACACAGAGCAAAAUUGCAGGGGCUCUGGGCUGUUCUGGCAGCACCCCAGCCCUCUGUGCCACUGUGGAGCAAAAAUCUUCUCUUAGGAUAAGAAAUAUGUGCAUGUACAUGCACUCAUGUACACAAACAGGCUCUAGGGGGAAGGUUAUGAAUCUCUGCUGGCAUUUCCUACUGGGAACAUUUCCCAGUUUAGAAAAACAUGUCAUGGAGGGUGCUGCAGCUCUUCUGUCUUGGCAUGUUCCUCCCUCUUUUGUGAGCCCUGUCCAGGAGCAGAGCUCUGGCUUCUGGAGGCUGCACAGGUCAUCAGGAGCACACAGAAGAGCUAUUUCUGCCAUCCCCUCUCCUUUCUGCUACCCAGGCAUGCCUGACAGCUCUUCAAUGCUUGCAUAAGAGGGUAGCUGAUAAAUAAAUGUGCAUGCCUUUGUGGUAACCCUUGGGGUGAGUGCAGCAGAAAACAUCAGAGCUGUCCUGAAGAGUGUUUGACACAGGUUUUCUGUGCUGAGAGUGUGCUCUGUAUGCUUGCAGACAUGCAAUACAUGGGAAAAUGCUCCUAGCUGCUUCCAGACUCAGAUGGGAGUGCAUUUCUUUGUCUUCAGAAGUUGUGUGUGAAGGAGAACCUCCUGGAAUAUAUCCUAGAAAAGUCCCCUGGCCAGGCUGGGAUGGAGACAGCCAGUGGAGAGGGUGUGGUUUCCUCUGGGGGAGUCCUCACAAAAUACCCAUCUGAACUGAAAAUGUUGGAGGUGGAUUAAAUGUAGGAGCCUUUUCCAGGCCUAAAUCCACAGGGUUAAAUGCUGUCAACCUGUUCUGAGUCUGGGCUUUUGGAAAAAAAAAUCUGUCUGAUGCCUGGCAAAUAGGAGUCUACAUGGAACAAAACAAGUCUUGUCACUUGCCAGCUUUGCCAGAAAAGCCCAUGGGAGGGGUGGGCCUUGGAGUUUUAAGCAGCUAUUCUCUCUCAGAAACAAUCUGCCUCAUGUCAAUGGUGAACAACAUUGGAAUGGAGUAAGGAAUCCGUGCUGCUGCUUCUGCUGUGUUUGUGGAUAAAUAAAAGUGUUAAUUAACCAGACAUCUCAUUCCACUCCUUUUUAAUAAGCUGAACACAUGCUCUGACCAUCUUGGUGCUGAUAUGGAAAUGUAGAUUUGUUUAUGCUGGUAUCAAACAUCAGCCACAUUGUUUUGGAUGCACAGAUGUUAGGCUGCAAGUCUAAUGUCUUCUCCUUCAGGGUCUCACUUUUUAUUUAGACUUUAAAACUGUAUUCAAAUGAGGUUUUGACUGAAACUGAAUCACUAUGUACUUGAAAGCUAAAGAGCUUAUCAGGCAUCUGAUAAUGUUUUCAGGAUUUCCCCAGAUGAGACCGCGCAGUGUACAGACAGGAAGCCGAAGUAUCGAGCUCUGACCAGAGCUUCCUCCUGCGCAGCAGUGGGGGUUUCUCUGACUCGAGUCUUCAACUCUGCUGCGUGCCCUGGGCCUUCAAACCUAAAGGAUAAAUAGCACCCAAUGUCCCAGCUGAGCCCUCCGAGCACGGUGGAGGGAGAGCUUCAGCGUGCCCCUUUUGCAAGGUCAGCAAAGCAGGUCUCACCUCUGCUGGGCUGUGUUACCUUCCUGGCUCCUUAUCGGCCCGGGAAUCAGAGAGGGACUUUCCAGAGCUGAGAACUUUUGAGCUGAAGAGAUGGAAUGAACCCAUAUGCAAAUCAGUUUUGAUUCCCUUCCCUAUAUAAAGUUAAAAUGUUUUUGAGAGAGAAUCAGAUCCUGCAGCGUGUGGGAGUCCGAGGAGGUUACCUUGAGCUGGCAGUGCCUCUGUCCCUGCUGUCUGUCCGCCCGUCUGCCUUUCCAUUGUAGACAACAAAGUGCAGAAUAGAAAACGAGAAAUGCAAACCUCUGCUGAUUGAAGAGGAGGAAGGAAAAUGGGAGAGAAAAAGCUGAAGAGUGGGAAAAAGAUAAAAUAAAAUGAAUUUUGGGAUUCCACUGUGAGUGAGAGCCGAAAAAAAUGUAAGCUGAUUUAUUACAUGUUUGUCUUCUGCCUGAGUGCCAGUACACUUUGUAUAUGUGAAAGGUAAUUUGCACAUUAAAGAUUGAGUCAAAAUGUCAACUUCUUCCUCAGUUCCUCCAGUUUUGAAUGAGGACAGUUCUGCCGGCUUUGAUGGGUUUACAUUCUGUAAAUGCAACAUAAUGAAUAUCAAGUCUUUGAAGUAAUUUUGAGUUAUGCUAAAGCAAUGAGAAGUUUUGAAUGAUUUUUAAAUACUGUUGUGUCAGGGAAUCUGCAUGUUUUCUAGUGCUUCUCUUCACCAUGCAGGAAUUUUUUCUCUUGCCCUUCUAAUGCUUUUGUGACUUUAUUCCAAAUCCAGUGGAAUUCAGAAAUAAAGGGUGGUGGUAUUAUUAUGUGCAUUAAUAUUUUCCUUGAAUUAUGAUUUAUAUAUAUAUAUUAAUUUUUUUAUUUUAAAUCUCUGUCUUAACCCACUUAAUAAUAGCUAUUUAAACAGGGAGAGGAUGUGAGUUAAUUGAUGUAUGUAUUUUUUUCUUUUCCUCAAAUGCUACUGAUUUAGAAACUACAACGUUUGGUUGUAACAGAAGAGUUUGGCUGUCCCUGGUUUUCUUUCACAUCAAUUCUUUACUUUUUUGAAAUGGUUUAUUUUGAUUUUUUUGUAUGUGCUUCUAGCUUAUCUAAGCAUCCAAAUUUGCUUUGCAGCAUGGAAAAAUGGGAUGGAGAAAUCUCCACUCUUCUGUGGUGGAAUUUCCAACAAAUUCCCUGUUGGGUUUGUGCAGGGAAGGGUUUCUGGAGUUUGCAGGAUAAGGCAGCUCCCCUCCCUUCACUAGAGUGAUUAGAGACAGGCAGUUACUCUUGCAUUUUUCUGAUUACUUUGAAAAAUGCAGUUUGACUGAACUGAAAUUAUUUACAAAGCUCACCAGAGUGCAGCAAACAGUCUUGGGUAAAUAAUAAAAUAUAAAUUUAUUUUAACAUUUUGAGAAUUAGGCUUUCAUUUUUUUUCUUUAAAAAAAAUUUUCAUUUUUUAAAUUUCUCACAUGCAAAAAUAAUAAUGGCAAAAGAAGAAGAAUUUUUGGUUUUAAGUCAAAAUAUAUUAUGUAAUGUAUCUCAAAUGUAUGUAUUUUAUUUUUAGAAAAUUUUUUAAAACAAUUAUUCCAGACUUAGCCAAAUGACAUUUUUCUGAUGAUUUCUUACUUUUGGCUAGUGGAUUAAAAAAUACUAAUUGCCAUAGCUUUGGUUGCAUUUCAUCUUCUUCUGGGAGAAUGUUGAAAGGAAUUUUUUUCUGUGGGAAAUGGUGAUGAAAAUGUGAAUUAUUUUGAUAAAAUUUUCUGGUAUUUUUAAAAUGUAUUUUUAUCAGUCAAAAUGAACACAUUAUCCAUCUUUUCUCAAAAGAGAGGAUGAAUACCACUUUUCAUGAUUGAAAUAGACUUUGUUUAUCACUGUUGAAUCUAUUCCCUAAUUUCAUUAGCAAAUCCAGCUGCUCUCUCUUCUGCAGCUUUUCAAAUACCUGGACUCCAUCUAAAAGUGCUUUGGGGUCAGGGCUUCACAGUUCUCCAAACAGUUGUUGGGUAGGCAGGGCCUGGCGUUCUUUGGGAGAGGGAAUUUGAGGAUUGCCAGCAGAGCAGGACAAAGACCCCGGGUUCCAGGGGGUCUCUUUGCAAGACAGAGGUUUCAAAUAUAUCAGUGACUACUUGGGAUGGUCUUGGGGGAUUCAUCAAGGAGAAGCCUGAAAGAACUGAUUCAAAGCUGUAUUUAAACCUUUAAUACACACGGGGUAUCCAAGUCCUUGCUGGCAGCUCUGGUGAUCUUAAGUUACUCAUGGAAUCAUUAGCUAUAGGCAGCCUACUUGCCUAAAUAUUCUGGAUGUGAUCGUGUUGAAUCCAAAUAUUACCUAAAUUAUUUUCUUUAAAAUGAGAUCUGCUGAGUUCAAGGAGAGCAAGAUGUAAAAUUUUGAAUAGGAGGUGAGUGUAUCCCGGAGGAAAACACCAGGUGCCCAUAGGGGAAGCAUUCCUCAGCCUUUGUUAAUGUCUGCAAACAAAACAAAAAUCUUGGACCAUUUCACAUGCCCCAAAAGGAGCCAUCUGCACCUGCAGGCAGUCCCUGGAAGUUUGCAGAAAACAGCUCCCAGUUUUUAAUGUUCUAGACACAAUGGGUCAUGGCCUGGUUUGGGGUCUGGCAGCAGAGCUCAGAGCCCCUGGGCUGAGCCAUCCCAUGGCAAUGGAGCAGGGCUAACUAAGGUGCUUCCAGGAGGGCACAGCUCAUUGCCCUCAGAUUGGCAGGUGCCUCUCAGCUGGCAGGGCAGCUCCACUCUGCUGCAGCUCUUCCAUUGUUCUGAUACUACACUCGUUUAUUUCAGUGCAUUAUUGCAACCACGCAUGUAUGAAAGGUUGUUUGCUCUUUAGAAUACUUUACUUUCAAUGACUGCAGUAUAGUUACAAUAUAAAUGCAGCAACUUAUUGUAUUUUAAGUGUUUUUAUAUAAAAAACUUGUUUGAAGAAAUCUCUGGCUUCUGAUGGAUUACUAGCUUUACAGUUGUUUAUUACACUGUGCUUCUCCAAGUAAAUUCCUUGUUAGGUGAUGAUAACAUUCCUUUUUUAAAUAAUGGGAGGGUUACAAAAAUGUGAUUAAUUGAUGUUGGCCUGUUUGUUUUUUACUGCUUACUCAGAGUGUAACCAUUUUUCUAUCAGUAAUACAGUCUGGUAGUUAUGUAGUGACAAAUACUGUAAGUACCUGUGUACUUUGAACAGAAGAAACAUUGCUGGUACUCUUGAGUUAUUAAAAAUGUGUAAAUUGGGAAGGAAUAAGAAAUGGUCAUCCACUCUCUCCUGUUUGUUGUUUUUUAUAUCUUCCUAUUUUGGGUGUUUAGAUUAUUUCUGAAACAUACUGACUGACCAGUCAUUUUGAGCUUGCUCUGUUCCUCUCCAUUUAUCAGGAAUUAGUUCAGCUGAGCAGUUCCCACCCUGCUGGAAACAGCACAUAUGCCACCUCCAGAAUCUGCCCUGGGCAUGGUUAUCAGAUAUCCUGACCAAGGCAAGAAGUGUCACUGGGUUUGGGAUAGCUCUGUAUUGGAAGAGUUGGGACUUUUCCUUUGUCCUUGGUCAGCUGGUGUGAAACUUCUUUGUUUACAGGAGAAUUUUAUUGCUGAAAUUAGAAAGAAUAGGAAGAGGCUGAGCAGUUGCAAGAGCUUUAACAUCUCAGUUCUCAUUGCCCUUGUUAGCACACUGAAAAUUGGCUUUCCAGUUCCUUACAUUGGGCACUGUUAGUACAGCUGUUACUGCAGCUGUGUCAGUGUGCAGAGUAAGUGCUUCAGACUGCUGCAUUCUUCUACACUAAGUUUCAUCCUGGCAUCUGAAAGCAUACAUAAAAAAAGCCAGAACAUGGAGCCCACAGAAGUUUCUAUUUUUCAAUACAUAAAGCUUGUUGAAAUUGUCUCCAGGGCUGUGACUUAUUAAGGCUGAGUAUAAAUGAAACUGUACUGUACUGUAACUGCACUGUAAGUAAAUGGUAUAGUGAUUACUAAAAAUAAUAUUUAGUAUUGGAAGUGUUUAUUAUUGAUGUUAGCCAGAACUUUUUAAAAAUAGGAAAUAACUUUUCAUUAUGCACUUUUGAUACUAGUGUUUUUACUAGCUGUAAUGUAUGUAGAUGGCUGAUAGUGUAAACGUUGUUUUUUCUUAGUGAUUUAUACCUUGUGUGUGUGUAUUUUGCCAUGUCUUCUUUUUCCAAUUUAGUGAAAAAAUGCAGAAAAAAUCAGUAAGUUCUAGGUAAAAAAAUAACAUUCAUUUAAUUUAAAAAAUGAAAAGGAUAUGCAAUCAUUUUUAUCUUCCAUGAAGGAAGAUGGUUUGUUGCACAAAGUACUGUGUUGGAAAAUGUGAUUAAAAUGGAAACAAGAGAAUUGAACCUCAAGAUAAGGCAGAGUGAGAUAAUUCUGCAGCAGAAGAAAUUGAAUGUUUGUUAUUUGUGGAAUAGACAUUGGGAAUACAAAUGCAGCUAUUUCUUAAAAUAAAAAAUGCAGCCAGAAAAUAACUGGAAGUUCCAGAAAGCAUUUUGGGAACAAAUGCACUUGUUUCUGGACAACCCAAAAUAUGUGUUUGGGCUAAUCUGAUUCAUCAUGAGAUAGGAAUUUUUUUUUUUCAUAUAAGAAUUAACCAUUCCAGACUAUUAAUUUUUUUCUCUGUGGUGUGGGAAUAAUGAAAGUGUCUGUGUAGUUACAGGGCCAAAGGUGUUAUGGACCUGUUCCAUUUUUCAUCCUGAAGGGUUCAGGGGAAAGAAUAUCUGCAGUUCCUCAUCUGGCAUUGCCUGUGGUCUUCACUGAUAUGGGGAGAGCCUGGGAGCAGGGUGUGCUUGGCACCAGUGUCUGAUGGGAGCUGCUUGAUGCUGGCAGAGCUCAAGGGCAAAGCUUAGCUGGGGCUUUUCUUUCAGCCUGAGCUGAAACUUCAGCCUUGGGUUCUUUGUGGGUGAACAUGAUCUUUACAGAGCACAGAAGGAUCUGUGUGUGAGCACUCUGCCUGUAAACUUGCAUAUGAGCUGUACUGAGAGGGAUUUACAAUAUUAAAAAUUAGGAUGUGGGCAGUGUUUGCCUUGUACCUAAGCACCAGAGUAAGGAUUUUCUUGUGGAUCCCUAAUCUGUGGCAGAGCUGCUCUGCUGAGAUAGGGAGUGAUGGAAGGAGAUCUGCUCUGUGCAGAAGGGGGGGAAUUGUUUUUGGUGUGAGGUAACCCUAAGGCAUGCUCCCCACAGCCCAGCACCCCAGGCAGCUCCUACAGGAACUGGAAUUGCUGUGGAGAGCAGAUGAGGCUGCCUGUCCUGGGCUGGGUGGGAAAAGGGUGAAAUCAAAGAAAUGGGUAAUCUUUAAAUGGAGAGGACCAAAUGUUUGGGUUUUAAAGGUUGAGCUCUGGGUUCAUGACACCAGGCAGAGGUUUUCACAGUGUGAGGCUGGUCUGCAGCUGCUGCAGGGGAUGCUCGAGGCAGAUCUGCCCAGUGAGCAGAACUCCCCUGCAGGACACUCUGCCUUUGCAGAGCACAGCCCAUGGUCUGCACUGAAAUUUCACAGCCGGCACAGCAGAUCCUGAGAGGUUCUGCUGGGCUUGAGUGCUUGCCUGCCUCUGGUGCCACUGUGCUCUUUUCUGGCUGUGAGUUUUCCUCUUAAAAAAAAAAAAAAAAAAAAAAAAAAAAAAAAAAAUUCUAGAAUAGCUUCAUCUUCCAUUUCACCCUCUUGUUUCAACUACUCAGCUGUCAGUGUAGCUGUGAGACAUGUAUUUUUCUGCUAGCUGUGGGGAAAAUGUAUUUAAUGAAAUAAGGGUGAAAAAGAUGCUUUAUGCUCCUAAUGAAAUGGGACCAUAUUCAUAUUUUAUUUCAAGUUCCCUAUCUGUGUUAAUUAAUUACCACCCAUGAUGAGCUCAUUUGGGUAGUGUCUGGAUUUCAUGUGAAGCUGCAGUAGAUAAAUGACUGGUUUAAAAGCAUUAAAAUCUCACUCUUUGGUUAUAUGUUUGGACAAAUGCAGAUGUUUUACUGGAAAGAAAGGUUUUAAUGGCAGCAUAGAGAAUAAAAGUAAGGAAUGGUGAGGAGAAUGCAGAGAAUUUACACAUUGCAGUAACUUGAUGGCUUUAAGAUCUUUAUGUUCUUUUCCUGUUAAACCAUAUUUAAUUAAGAAGAAAGCUUAUGGAAGAACAGUCUUCAGGCCAUUAACAUUAUUCAAUCACUCUAAAAAGGUUUGCCUUUUGGUGUAGCAGUAAAACUUUAUAGGAUGAUUGUCUAUUAAGUAUCUGUCCUGUAGGAAUUGUUAAAUCUGGUGUAAUAAGAUCUCCAAGCUGUGAGGUACUAAGGGACCUUGCUGGAAUAGAACAAAAUAGUGUUUUUCCAAGAAGGAGAUUUAUGGCUCAUUGGAAAGACUCACCUCCUCACUGCUCUUGCAAAGGCAGAACAAUAUAAUUUUGUGGGCUGUCUUGUUUGCAAAUGCAUGAAUUUAAUCCUGGGGUGAGUGGGUUCUCAGUGGGAGGGAGUUAUUCCUGGAAGGACAGUGAAAGGAUAGAGAAUGUCACCUAUGAAGCUCAUGAAGGGUCAAAGCAGAAAGUGGCAUCAAGUUUCUUAAGAUGAGAGAUAACUAAUGCACUGCAAUGAUAUUAAACUAUGCAGGCAAACUGAAAGAGAGAAUGUGACCUUUUGUUCUACUUAUUUAAAAAACCUGUAAAGCAAACUUAACUGGAAAAUGGCUGUGGAAUUAUGAGGAUGUGGCCUUCCAUGCCUUUUCUUAGGGAUUUCACUAAACCAUCAGGUGUGCUGCUGCAGAGCUGGACUGUUCUGUCCUCCCUGGGGACACCUGUGGGACAGAUCCAUCCCAGGGUUCUGAGAGGGAGGGAAGCAAUCCUAGAGCAUGUUCAUCUGCAUCCCUGCCUUGGGGCUGUCUCUCUUCAAGCCCAUCUCCCUGGGGAGAGGCAGCUCUGCAGGACCUCACCUGGGCAUGGGACAGGGGACAGGGGGACAGCAGGCUUGGGGAGCACCCCAGAGCUCAGCUCUUCUGCUCUGGGCAGCUUGGAGCUGCUGCAGCUCUUUAGCUGGGUCUCAUGGAGGGGCAUUUCAUGUUUUCCCUUUCAUUGCGUGCCUGACUGUGCCAUGAUGAGUGCCAGAGCUGUCUGUACCCAGCUGGGGUGCUGAGCCCCCCUGUGCCUCUAUGGAAAUGCCCUGCACUUUCCAUAGCAUGGGGAGACUGUCCUUAGAGACAGACACUUCCACCCUUUCUUCUUCCUGACCUCUCUGCUUUAAGAUAGGAUGUUUUAUUGAUGAUCAUGAGAUGUUUUUCCUUCUUGGCAUUGGAAGAGGGAUUGCCACAGAAGAGCAACACUGCUUGUGAAGGUCUUGCUUAAUUAACUCAGCAGUGAUCUUAGCAAGCACUAUUCCAGUGACAAAUUCGAAAUAUCAGACAAGCAAAAUUUAUUGCUACGGUGCCUUUUUUUGAAGUUGCAGAUGAAGUUUUGUCCUAUUUGAGGGCCUUAGCAAGAUGUUACUUUUGUUAAUUUGAUUUUUUUUUCCUGUCUCAUAGAGUCAAGUGACAGAUGGGUAGGACUGAGCUGGGCUGUGGGUACCACACGGCAGUUACUUAGCAAAUAUGUUUGUUCAGAGGUUUCCCUCCCAGCUAGAGAAACAGUUAAAGAAGUCUGUUUUUAAUUUCUGUUGUUUGGUUGACUGGUUCAGCAGCCUGAGAAGACAAUUGGAGCUGUAAAGACAUGGGCACACUGCUGCCUUUCCUGCCAACACUGCUGGGGCUGCAUGUGAGGCUGAUGUACUGGGAAAGUGGCAUGGGAUGUUUGCAAUGAAAAAAAACUUACUUAUAACAAUAAAAUCAAUGCUAAAUCAAAAUAAUUAUAUUUGAACCAUUAUGUUCAGUAAAUUUCCUUAAAUUUAGUUUUUAAAGCUAAAAGAUUUAAUCUGAAAUCCCCUUGACAUCCAAAUAUUUUAUUUCAGACCAAAUAUUCUUUUCAUUGAAACCAAAGAGAUUUUUUUCUGAGACCUCAUCUCACUGGAACAAAAAGAAGAAUCUUUAAAAUGUUCUGAAUAAACCUGAAAUUUUUUUUAUAACUUACCCAACACUGUUUAUAUAUAUGCACCUAACAUCUAUUUUUCCUCAAAAAUUCCCCAUUUGGGGUAUGCAGUUUAAUGAAACUUGUGACUUCUCUUAGGUUUGCCGGAGGUGAUGAGGUGUUUCCCUGUGGGAGAGGUCCCUUUGACCUCCAGCAUGUUUGAGCAGUGUUUUUCUGUGGUCCAGAACACCUCUGGGUGGGAUUGUCACCCUGGGAUGGGGGUGACAAAGCUGUGUCAGUACACAGCCAUGCAGCUGUUAUGCUGAAGGCUCCUACUUGCCUUUUUGCCACACAGACUCUGAUGACUCUGCAGGGCUGCACCAGUGCCAGAUUUCCUUCUUUUCAGCUUCUGGGCGAAUUAUUUUGUUAACAAGAUUGCUGAGUGAUUCUGGAAGGUUUUACCUCUGUGUCUGUGUUGAUGUAUUAAAAAAAAAAAAAAAGAAAAAAAAACAAAACAAAGAAGGAAAUUUAUAACUCACCUCUUUGAAAUUCUCAAAGGCUUCAAGAAAAGUGCAAAAUGUUUAGUGUUAUAUUCCUUGGCUGUGCAUUUUUUUUUUUAAUUUUUAUUUUUUUAUUACUAGGAAUUCUACAGCAUGUUAGGGCACAUUGUGCCUCUGUGUGUGGCCACUUCUGGUGUCACAGGAAUAUAUAAAAUUGCUCAUUUUUCAAAAUAUAUAUCCUGGAGCCAUUAUUCUGCUUCUGUCCUACAGUCUGGGAACAGCUGAUUUGGCUGCAGUGAAGUUUUCACUCUUGUUUUCCAGCUCCUGGAAGAAGGCCAGGCACUGGAGAGAGCCAGCAGGAGUGUGAGAUGCUGCCGUGUGCUGGGACAGCCCGAAAAUGAACGUCAUUUAUUCUCAGCUUUGAGAACUGAAUUCCAUGGGUUGUAGUUGAAUAUGCUGUCAGACCCAUGGGGCUCAGUUCUUCAGCUUGGAUAUUUCUGUCUGCACAUACACAGGAGAUCAAAGGAGCACUUGAUCAUCCUCUGCCUCUUCUGGUGGUAGCAGCAAGCCGGAGAGGAGCACGAGUGAUGUGAAUCAUUUCAGCAGGGAGGGGUCACUGCAAAGGCCUGGCUCUCAGGAUAAUUACCUGUGCAGUGGUUGAAUCUCUUCUGAGCUCAUAGGCUCUGUGGUGCUACCCACUGUUUGAUUAGCUUGUUUCUUUCCUCUCAUUGUUAUCAAGGUUCCAUCUGAAUCCCUGAGAUGGUGUUGGUUGGAUGAUGGUCCCCAGACCCUGCUGAGUGGUGCAUUCUCCUGUGGCCAGCUCUGGUGAGCUCCUUUAGGCUGUGGAACAUCUGGACCUCCCUUGGGCUGAGCACUACAUUUGCCAACUGAUAAUCCACUGUACCCUGCUCUCCUGGUACCACUGCUGUGCACUUAUUGCCUCAUUUGCCAAAUACCCAUUUUUGACAGAAGCUAUGACCAUAAAGUUUAUUCAUUUGCUCCAUCCAACCAGCCCACUUAUAUAAACACAGAUUUCCUUUCCUGAGGUUAGAGAUGUGCUCCCAAAGUGGUUUAGGGAGUUUCCAGUGUAAUUAGUGAUGGCAAUGUAAGUGAUGUUUAAAGGCUUGGUAGCACAAACAUCCCUCUGUGGGGGAAUUCACUCAAGUCACAGGUUGAUGCUUUUUUUUGGAGGACCUAUGUUAAAAUUUUUCAUUUUUCAUUCCAGGCAUGAGGAAAAGGAAUUGUCGUCUUUAAGCAUGUGAAGAGUUACAAUUAGCAACGAGCUUUCCACCUCUUUCCUGCAGUAAUAACACCUAAAUUACAUUUUUCCAACUCAGUAAAGUGGAUCAUAACUGAUCUUAUCCCUGUGCUACAAAGCUCUCAAAAGCAUAGGAUUGCUAAAAUCCCACAGGUGCAGGAAGAGCGUGUUCAGCUAAGUAGCUUAAAACUGCCAUGUGCCUUUCAUUCUGAAUAUGUAUUUGCACAAAAAAAAUCAGAUAUUAAUCACUGUUGCCUGUGGAUACAGAUGUACCUUCAUACUGAUAUAUUUUUUGUAUAAAUUUUUAUCCUAGGGGUUGAAGAGUUUCAAUUGCAGCUGUCUGAGAUGUAUUCUGCUCACCAGUUUAGAGAUUACAGUUCUUGAAAGAGCUUACUGGUUCCACCAGCUCCUGCUGUGGGAAUAUCCAUUAAACAGGAUGGAGAAACUGAGCAAAGGAUGAUAUUGAAAUUUAUACUUUUUAUUUUCCUCUAUCAUCCCUGUCAGAAAGAGGAAAUGAAAUUUGAGGUCAGAGUUGGCAAAAUCUUCAAAAGAAGAGAGAUCAAUGAAACAAUGACAGUAUGUCUGAUGCAGGCAGUGUGCUGGAUAUUAGAUGCUGCAGAGCUUCAUCCUCUUCCUUCACUGUGCAGCCCAGCCUCGGGGCAGUGAUGCAGCACAGAAGGAACAAGGCCAUGGAUGAAAUCAAGGGAUACAGAAGUCUUUGGAGUCCCAUCUAUGUGACAAAACAAAAAUGAGUUGAAAAUGCUGAGUUUAUGUUGGGUUCAGCAAUCCUGAUGUCUGCACAGCUGAGAGAAUUCACUUCCCUGGGAGUGUGAGUGUGCCUCUGCAGCUUUGACAAGCCUCUCCCCUGCCCUGGGGAAGGAAGGAACAGCAGGGCUGGGAAGCUGUGGAGUCACAAUGUGCUGACUAAGAAUAAUUUUGGAGCAAACAAGCAUACAGUCAUUAGGAAAGGAAGCUGUUUCAUUUCAAGAUGUGAAGGGAAUUUUAAAUUACAUUGAAAUAAAAUUACCUUGUCCAGAA